AACGCAAAUUGCACUCCCUGGUAUUCCGGGGAGUAUGCCUGUUUGAGGGUCGUUAGAAUAAAAAUCGAGGCGUCGCUCUUUUUUUUUAAGGGUGAUCGCGUCGGAAUUGAGCCGUCUUUCAAAUGUUAAUUCAUGUCAAAGUGGCUUAAAAUUCAUUCAUCCGGUACGAUUAAAGAAAGCGUAUUUAAGAUCAAUGUUGAUUAAGAACGCGCGAUGACGUACCAUCUCAUGUAGUACGUUUGACCUGGCGUCGUCAGGAUCAUUCGUAUACGAUACUCAAACUUUUGACCUCAAAUCAGGUAAGAAUACCCGCUGAACUUAA
rnacentral:misc_RNA from 1 species